GUAGCUCAGGUGGUUAGAGUGCACCCCUGAUAAGGGUGAGGUCGGUGGUUCAAGUCCACUC
rnacentral:tRNA from 1 species